CCGAGGAGCUUGCGGUGCAUGCCGUUCGGCUAGGGUCCCGUCUUCCCGGUCGGUCGUCGAAUGCGGUGGACUGCGUGCAGUGCGCCGCGACUGCUGCCGGUCGCGAGGGCGGUGAUUUCGUACUAUGCACCCACGACGUUGGUGGUCAUAUGGCCUCAUCCGACCCGUCUUGAAACACGGACCAAGGAGUCUUACAUGUGUGCGAGUCUUUGAGUGAUCGAAACUCCGAGGCGUAAUGAAAGUGAAGGCGACUCCGGUCGCUGAGGUGAGAGCCUUUUACAAAAAAAGGCGCAUCAUUGACCGACCUAUUCUACUCUUAGAAAGGUUUGAGUAAGAGCGCAUCUGUUGGGACCCGAAAGAUGGUGAACUAUGCCUGAAUAGGGUGAAGCCAGAGGAAACUCUGGUGGAGGCUCGUAGCGAUUCUGACGUGCAAAUCGAUCGUCAAAUUUGGGUAUAGGGGCGAAAGACUAAUCGAACUGUCUAGUAGCUGGUUCCCUCCGAAGUUUCCCUCAGGAUAGCUGGAACUUACGGCAGUUUUAUCAGGUAAAGCGAAUGAUUAGAGGUGUUAGGGUUAAAACAACCUUAACCUAUUCUCAAACUUUAAAUUGGUAAGAAGUCCGACUUGCUUAAUUGAAGCCGGACAGUGAAUGCGAGUUCCUAGUGGGCCAUUUUUGGUAAGCAGAACUGGCGAUGCGGGAUGAACCGAACGCGCGGUUAAGGUGCCAAAGUCGACGCUCAUCAGACCCCACAAAAGGUGUUGGUUGCUCUAGACAGAAGGACGGUGGCCAUGGAAGUUGGAAUCCGCUAAGGAGUGUGUAACAACUCACCUGCCGAAGCAAC
rnacentral:ncRNA from 1 species